CGACGAAAGAGACAACUUUUACAGCACCGCUUCUUUAGUACCACGACGGUACCCAUGACGGUACCACGUGCGUUCAGGUGCGUUUAUCAGUGACGGUACAAUAUGUGAUUUGGAUUUUUUAUUGGAUAUACCAAGCUAUCUCAGGAUAUGGAAUGUGGCUAUGACGUAUCAUGCCUACAAGGACGAACAGCAGUGUUACCAGGUGGGCGCGACAGAGACGGAAGACCCAUUUUGUUGCUAACAGUACCACUCGACUCUCCUUCGUUAGAUGCCGUUCCGGCUCUCCAGUACUUACUUUCUCUAUUCAGUAAAACUAGUCGAUCUAAAGGUGUCACAGUGAUAAUAGAUGCAAGAAAAGGCCCCUGGAAAGUUGCUAGAUCAUGUAUACGUCAAGUAACUGCU